GGUCUUUUAUUUUGUUUCUUUUUGGAUCAAAAAUGAUGCUGUUUUGCUCCCUCCCUCUCUCUCUUUAUCUCUUUGUUGCAUAAGUUCUACGUUUUUAUGUUAUUUGUUUAUUUUUGUAGAUCGAGACUUGGAUUAUCUGUUUGGCCGAUGUUGGUUUUGUUUAUUUAUUUUCGUGUCAGUCAAAUCACUUGAUUGUUAUUGUGCGAGUCGGGGAUGGUUAGAAUUAUGUUCUGAUGCUGUAGUGGAGUUAUAUUUGCGGUCUAAAUGAAUGGGUUAUGCCAUUUGGUUCUGGGAAGGGGGUUAUAGUCUUAUAGAGAUUACUGGAAUAUUUAUUUAGGCAGCAUCUAUGUUUCUAUGUUUGGGAGGGUAUUUGAAAGAGUGCGAGGCGUGAAAUUUUUGUCUGUCCUGUUAUUUUAUUGUCUGUGUAGACUGUGACCGUGUGAUUGUUUGAGUUCGAUGAUAACCUUCUUCUCUCUCUCUCUCUCAUCCUCUUUCUCUCUAUCAAGUGGGAAGUACUGCCACAAUUUUAUCUGGUGUACGAUGAAAUGAAAAGUGGUUUUCCAUUGUUUUUGUGUUUUUAAUGCUAAUAUAAACAGACCCCAAAUAGUUGGGAAAAGGCUGGAUAGGCAUCGCUAUGUUGUUAAUGCAGGAUCAUGAUGUUGAUGCAAUGUAUUGCAUCUCAAUCUUAGAAAGAAGAAAUUAGUGCACAUGGAUGGACAUAAGACAAGAAUGUGGUAUUUGUUGCCUAGCUAUCACAUUGGCAUUCUAAAUAAUUCAAUAAAAUUUAUAAGAAUAGAAUUUGUUGAAAAAGUACCUUUAUUGUGUCUUCGACCUUUUAUUCAACUGGAUUAAGUAAUCUUAGUCAUGACUCUUAUAGGAAUCUGUUUCUUUGGCCAGUCCUCCUGAGAGUACAAAGCAAAUAUCAAAAUGAUACUGUCAGGUAGAUCUUUAAUUUGUCAAAUCAUCUACACAUGGAGUAUGUGCAUUCUACAUUCCUCCUUGAUUUUACUGUCAAUUUGAAACAGGAUUUUAGGUAUUCAUUAUGUUGUGAUUAUUCUGACCAAAUGGAGACAGCUCGACCUUAGCACAUUGUUUUUAAUUAGCACUUUUUUUAAUCUCGUUGAACCUAUGGAAAUAAUCACCUUCCUAUUUAAUUUGGAAUUUCUCUAUAUAAAACUAUACAAGCUUUCAUGGUCCUUUAAAUAACAAUUACUUUUUUUAAUAAUUUCAUUAAGUUUUAUUUUGGUGGAAUAUAUGGGCAUUACUCUAAAGUUGCACAAAAUUUAAGAAAGUACGUGUAGUAUUCAUUAAUUAUGCUCAAUCAUUUGGCAAGAGUCACUAGUUAGAGCGAGAGGUAACAUUACCAAAGCCUUUGCUGUAUCUAGAGUAUUGUCAAAACAUAAAAUGUCCAAAUUAUAACUUAAUAAUGUAAUGAAAUUAUGAAAAACCACCAUAUCACCUGUCAAUGUGCACAUUGCAUGCUUGCUGAUAUGGGGUUUUUAUAUAUUUCUUUUAAAUUAUCUUUGCCCCUUCUUUCAAUUUGGACAUUUAAAGCUUUUCUUCAAGCUACAGUUUAUAAUUUAUAUCCAUUUCCUUCAUUAGCCCAACCCCUUAGCACUCUAGGAUGGAGCUGCUCAAUUGUUACCAGUUGAUGAGAACCAAAGAACAUACAGGUCCCUUCUUCUUGAUGAGCAUCUCAAGAGAAACCUGUAGGAUGAACCACUAAUCUUGUACUUUUUGUUCAUUUGCCUUCAAACUUUUCUGAGACAAUAUUAAUCAUCUCCAGUCACCAUCUGCAAUAAAAAUGGGCUGCACUGAUCUUCGGAUCAACAUCUUUGGGUGCAUAUAGAGCACCUUGCAGAACAUCAUCAUGGCUCUGUGGAUUUAUCCUGGUCUCUGAUUUACUUAUCAUGAUAAGGUAAAAUAUAGAGAAAUAUGGCAAUUUUUGUGUAUGUUUGAUUAGAAUCAUAGAAUUUGAUUAACAAGUGACAGAAUCUAAUAAGAGGUCAUGAUUGUGGGCCCGAUUCAUAUAUUAUACAGAAUUUAAAUGGCUGUCAUGAUAAGAACAUGAAAAAUGUAAUGAUAGGGGAUCUUUUAUGUUUUAGGGCUUAAAAUUGGGUAGAGAUUUUCGCAAUGUCCAAAGCACAAGAGAUGACCUGAUAUUUUGCUUUGGAAAUGUGGAUGUUUUGUUCUCAUAGCUUGCCAUUAAUGCCAAAGGUGUUGAGAACAUCGUCAUUCUAAGACAGAAGAUGUAAUUCGGGGAACCGGAUCCAAGUCAAAUCGAGAGUGGCCAACGACGGUUCCUCUUUGCUAUUGACUCAGGUCUGUUGGGCUAAGGGGAGACUGAACUGCCAUCAGAAGAUGGUAAGCUUAAGUGCUUAAAUAGUGUGUAUUUUCAAUCGUAACCAGCCCUUACCGCGAUCAGCCUUUACUCUCUCGAAAGGGCUCGUGGAAUAGAAAGAGUUCGUUGCAUCAACAGGAAUCGCUUUGGUGACGCACGGUCUUGCCCGGAACUGUAUCCCCCCGAUUCCUUCCCUUCUUGAAGAAAUGGAAAAUAGCUCAAGUGGGCUGGGGACCAGCCCCGCUAGAUCCAGAGCAUCCGUAUAGGCUUCACCUUGUACUUUAGAGAAUAUCCGCCUUUCAAGCUGUUUUUAGGAGUUUCAGUAGUUGGAAAGAUAUAGUCAAAUCUCAGAGUUAGACUUGUUUUGUGCGAACGGUUAGGCAACACUACGGCGCCUGGGUCAAAAUCCCGUUUACCAAACAAGAUGUCGAGAGGCGAACUCUUCCAUUCCCCUCCAGGGGUAAAUAAGGGGGAAGAGGAGUUGUCACGAUAGAAAAGAGAAAUGACUAUAAGGAACCAACGAUUCUCUCUUCUUAAACAACCGAUAUCCUCCACAUUUUCCUUCCCUUGGUUACUCCCCCUGCCUACCCCCUUUUUUUAAACCAAAUUUUUUGAGUGCAGUAUGAAACAUACUGGUAUUUGAGUCAAGCAUUGGUGACAUCUUCAAGUAAUGAUGGUCUCAGAACAUAAGAUGUCGAACUCAAGAUAGACAAAUUUGUGGGAUAUUUAGAAGAACUUCGAUUGUUAUAUCUUUUGACUCAAAAGAAGUUGCGUGAGGCACUAAAUAUUCUGUCUCAAAAAGUUAUUUUACAUGCUGCAGGUCGAUUACUUGGGAAUACUUAAUAAUUGGUGAGUAUUAACUUGUUCUACGUUCUCAAUUCAAAUAUAUGGAGGAUAUUCCUUGUCUUGCACUUGCAUCUUUUAACAUCAGGAGCUUAGGAAUUGAAACCAAGGGAAUAUUAACAUCUACAGCUGAGGACUCAGAAUAGAUCAUGUAAAAUUUCUUUUCCCUUUGAUGAAGUUUUGGAGAUAUCAAAAGAACAUAGCUUGAAAAGGAACCUCGUUAGUCAUGAAUUUGAUCUAGAGAAAAUCAUAAAAUAUUCUACAAACUCUAGUAAUGCAUACAGCUAUGCUGAAUAUAAAAGCCAGAUUCCAGUUGACAAGAUAAAUGUGACUCACAAAUAUAUACUCAAGGAGCAACAAAUUAUCAAUUGAAACUUAUAGCAUUCAUGCCUUGAAAAGGCUUAAAGAUUGCUUGAAAAAUCUUGGAAUAUGUAUCCAAGAUGUAUCUUCAGGGAAUCAGAUGUUUUAAGUAAUAUAUAGUUGCAUAAUAGAUGAGGUGUUGUUGUGAAUGUGUGUUUCUAAUCUGCAGAACAGUUUUACUAUAGCAGGCAAAUAUUGAUAUUAUUUGUAGUGAAAAGAUUCAAAUAUCUUGAUAGAGACCUGUGUGCCUUGUCUGAGUGGACUAUUCUUUGCAUCUAGUUGCAGUCUAUUUUGCAAUGCCUACAUGUGUGACAAUGGCCUCAUGUUGAUAGGCUUUAAAUUUUCAGGUCCUUUUCUUCUAAAAUUAUCAGAAAUCUUCAGUCAGAAAUUUCCAAGAAUUUUUUUUUUUUUGGUGGGGAGGACAUGGAGCUUAGUUUUAUGGCCAGAUGAUAUACCAAUCAAUAUAUGGAAAAUCGCGAGAAAACAUUAGAUUAAAAUGGGUCACAAGCUUACCCAACAAUGUCCUGAAAAAUAAGAAAUAUUUAUUUAUAGUUAACAGGAGCAAUACAUAGUAUUACAUGAAUUUUUACGGACUCUUUUGAGGUUAUAGGAGCAUGCGUGCAACAGAAAAAUAAGAAAGUAAGAAAGGCGAUGUGAACUUGAUAUAACCAGAUUGUUUUAUGCUAAUAAGGAUGGGAAGGAUAAUGAUGGUAUCAAUUCUCUUGCUUAUGCAAUGAAAUAUUAUGAAAAGAGGGAAUCUAUGCAUGACUUUUUUGACUUGGGGGAAUGCAUAUCAUAGAGUACAAUGAGAUGUCAUCUGGCAGGCAUCAAGUUAGAAUGCUUUGCUCAAUUAAUACAUCACAAUUUUUGAGGACAUAUGCCUGAUAGGCAAAUGGGAUAUAUUCAAAUUUCUUAUGGUUGGGUAUUUGAAUUUCUUUUGGCAUUGGGCCUGUGCAAGUUUGAGUACUUGUCUUUACACAUGUCAUAAAUGAACCAGUCAAGAGGAGAUAUCAUGAUAUGUUAUGGUGUCAGUUGUAAGAGAAGGUCAGGAUUAAAUGCUAAACCAGAAGAAACUCGCAGACUGAUCAUUGAAGAAUUUCAUGAUAGUAUGUUUUUUCUUUUUUUAAUUGAUAAUUCAAAUAUUUCUCCUUUUCUUUCCAGGAAGGAUGCUCCUCAUUGCAGCUUCUUCCACCAGUUGUGAAAAAAAUAUUGCAGGAUGUGACAGCAAUAUAUUAAUAAAUCAAUGUUGCAGCUGUCUGUUAUGGACUGAGAAUUGCAAGAGGAAGAGAUUAGGAACAUGUUACUUUGCCAUAUUAAUGACUUCAUGGUACUAAAUGUGUUGCUUGGCCAUAUUAAUGAUUUUGUGGUACUAAAUUUGCUGGACCUUAAGUAAAUGAAAGAAAUAUAUAUCAUUUUAAACUUUUGAAUCUGUGUUCCUAUGCCGAGGAGAAAUGCUUGUUAAUUGUAAAUUUGUUACUUAUUUGUGUUCCAUAUUGAUCUCCUAAUGCAGAUAGAGGGAGAGGAGGCCCUCCGUAUGUCUAAACGCCGUCUUGAACGUGAAAGGGGGCGCAGAGAUGCAACUGCUGAUAUGUCCGAAGACCUGUCUGAAGGAGAAAAAGGAGAGAUAGUCAGCGAUCUAUCCACUCAUGGUGAUAGCACAAGAGGCAGAUUGCCCAGGAUUAGUUCUGUUGAUGCUAUGGAGGCUUGGUCUAAUCAGCUUAAAGAUAAAAAACUUUACAUAGUAUUGAUAAGGCAUGAAACUUAAAGAAGUUAUAACAGUUAAAUGUUUUUGUUAUAGUGGUCUACCCAAGUUAUUAUUAUCUUGUAAUUUGCAUGUUCAUGCUAUGCACGUCUAAACCAUAUUGGUUGCAAAAAUGGCACGGAUUAGUUUUGGACACAUAGCAUUUCUAGCAUACUUGGAUUAUAACCUUCAAGUGGCAGGUGGCAAAAUUUCUUCAAUGUAGAUAACAUUAGAAAAUAUUAGAAUGUUAUAUUGGUUUCUUUAAACUCUGCAAACAUUUUUUUCACAUCAAUUUUUGGAGAUUUUUUUUUUGAAAAGUAAUCUUUGUUUUUUCCUAUUUUAUUGACCCCUAUUUUGUGCUUACCAUUUGAUGGAUGCUAGAAGCAGGUGUCAGAAAUUAAUGCUUGAGAAGAAGAGGGUACUGUGGAAGUUGGAGGGUCAGAUUGAAUAGUUCUCAGAGUAGAAUUUCUUUAUUUAAACAAUGAGGGAAACAGUAACUUAGAGGUUUUUAUGAACUAUCUAGAUAAUAGUUUUUUUUUUUUUGUAUAGAGGUUUUUAGCCUAAUAUCAGAUGGGAUGGGGUCAACAAUCAACAAAAAGUGAGGACUAUGUAAAAAAGGGGAAUUCAGUGCGCAAGGCUCGUGCCAUUGCAUGGUCUGUGAGGGUUAGAUGGUCAAAUGUACAUAGCCUUACCCUAGCAUGCAGAGAGGUUGUUUCUGUAUUUCAAAUCCAUGACCACAAGGUCACAACGGAGCAACCUUCCCGUUGCGCCAAGGUUCACCCUCAAAGUGACGAGUAUGUGUGAUAUACAAAUUUUAAGUACUUUAUAAUUAGUUUUGAUGUGAUAUCUUUAAAUUCUUUAGCUAGAUUCUUGAUUCUGUAGGUAAAUGCUUGAAUGUGUAUAUGCUUAUGCGUAUGCACAGACUAAUAACAAGGUAUUACUGGAUAGUUGAUACUAUCAGAAGAAAGGGCAAUCUCCUCCUCUUAUUUUUCUACAUAUUUAACCAUAGGUCCAGCAGUUAAACCUUGAAAGUUUUGAGAAAAUAUUGGAGUAGAACUAUCAAUUCUUUUUUGAUAAUAAUAGUGCACUAACAAUAAUGAUGACACCUUCAUCUUCAUCAUCAUUACAAAAAUUAUUAGAUGUGUAAUCUGUGUUUCAUCCUAUGGCCUCAAGGUUGUAAAUAUUGUCAAACAACUGAAACUUGUGAUGGAUAGUAAAGAAAAACAGUUAAUAUCUUUGUGGCCUGGUGUGGAUUCUUCAUUAUGUAUUCUUAUUUCUGACAGAUAUGUUUCACUUUAUGCAGCAUUCAUGGUCUGAUACGCGGUGAAAAUAUGGAGCUUGGUCGUGAUUCUGAUACUGGGGGUCAGGUAGCUCUGUCAUGAUGUUUACUUUGAAAUCCAUCAUGAUUUUCCUUCUGAUAUCCAUUACAUAAAAAUUUUUUAUGAUCUCUCCCAUUUUAGAUAGGAAAAUCUGUUGAUACUGUUUCUUUUUCUGUGGUAUUUAAAAUUUAGAGGGUGCUCUAAACUUAUGAAUGGCCUGAUCUCUGUUGUACUAUGUUAGGUCAAGUAUGUUGUAGAACUUGCAAGGGCUUUAGGCUCGAUGCCUGGAGUUUAUCGGGUUGAUUUGCUGACCAGGCAAAUAUCUGCACCAGAUGUUGAUUGGAGUUAUGGAGAACCAACAGAUAUGCUGACUCUAAGAAACGCUGAAAAUUUUAUGCAUGAGAUGGGAGAGAGCAGUGGUGCUUAUAUUGUCCGCAUUCCAUUUGGGCCAAAAGAUAAAUAUAUCCCUAAAGAACUUCUUUGGCCACAUAUUCAAGAAUUUGUUGAUGGUGCACUCGUCCACAUUAUGCAGAUGUCCAAAGUUCUAGGAGAACAAAUUGGUGGUGGGCAGCCAGUAUGGCCUGUUGCUAUCCACGGACAUUAUGCUGAUGCGGGUGACUCUGCUGCUCUAUUAUCUGGGGCAUUAAAUGUCCCUAUGCUAUUCACUGGUCACUCGCUUGGGAGAGAUAAGUUAGAACAACUUCUGAAACAAGGGCGACAAACAAGAGAAGAAAUUAACAUGAUAUACAAAAUAAUGCGUAGAAUUGAGGCUGAGGAAUUAGCUCUUGAUGCCUCUGAGAUUGUUAUCACAAGCACUAGACAAGAGAUAGAACAGCAAUGGCAAUUGUAUGAUGGUUUUGAUGCGAUUCUUGAGCGAAAACUCCGAGCUAGAAUUAAGCGAGGUGUGAGUUGUUAUGGCCGUUUUAUGCCUCGUAUGGUUGUAAGUAUAUUGCAUCUCUUAUUUCCUCUUCCUUUUAGAAGUUUUUUAAAUGUAUUUAUUUGGGAGGUUGCACUUAUGCAUUUGAUUAAACUGUUAUACUGGAGGUCAUUUGCUGUUCGGUUCCAGAAAAUAAUAUAUUUGCUCUAUUUUGCAGAUAAUUCCUCCUGGAAUGGAGUUCAAUCAUGUUGUACAUGAUGGUGAUAUGGAUGGCGAAGUUGAAGGAAGUGAGGAUAAUUCAUCAUCUCCGGAUCCACCUAUUUGGUCUGAGGUCCAGAAAUUUACUUCAGGCUCCUUGUUCAAGGAGUUAUUAUAAUGCAACUUCUUUUUAUCAUAACUAUGACAAAAAUAUUGAUCUCUUAGUUAACGUAUUUAAGAACCCCCCUCCACCCCCAACAAAAAAAAUCCAAUUUACUGGGAUUUGCUGGUGUUUGCUACUAUUCACAGCUUGGUGUUAUUUAAUUUUGGCAGAUAAUGCGGUUCUUUACCAACCCUCGCAAACCUAUGAUCCUUGCUCUUGCUCGACCAGACCCCAAGAAGAACAUCACAACACUCGUGAAGGCAUUUGGUGAAUGCCGCCCUUUGAGGGAGCUUGCAAACCUUGUAUGUGGAAGCUAAUGCUCUUAGUAUAGCUAUUUUUUUAGUGUUGUAUAAUUACCCUCAUUCUGUGAGUUUAUCUACUGUGAUCAUUUGUUCAUAGAAGUUGCAAAUAAUUUCACAAUUUGAUUUUUAGUUGCUUUCUGAUGUUUCUGUAAAUUCAUAUGUUGCAGACGUUGAUAAUGGGUAAUCGUGAGGCUAUUGAUGAAAUGUCAAGCACAAAUGCAGCUCUUCUGACUUCAGUACUCAAAUUAAUUGACAAGUAUGAUCUAUAUGGACAAGUGGCAUAUCCUAAGCACCACAAGCAAUCUGACGUUCCUGACAUUUAUCGUUUGGCAGCAAAGACAAAGGUAUGCUUUUAAUGUUAGUCAAUGAUCAAAAUUUGGCGGUCUUUUAACAAGUGUGCUUCUCAUUGUGCGUGGUGAGAGCGAGAGUGAGGGGAGGGGGCUUGGGGGGGAAGAGUGUGCCUGAAUUGAUGCAGCCUGUGUCAACCCUAAUCUUUUAUGCUCAUGGGUGUUGGUCACCAAUCAAAGCAUACUGUAUGAAUGUAUGUAUGUAUUUGUUUGUGUGCAUGCAUCUAAGUUUAUUGAGAAAUACAGUAGGGUUGCCACCACAGCAUAGGAGGUGUUACUGAAAGCCUAGAAUAUUCCAUUUGAUCAAGUCUUGAAUGUUGGUAUAGGCUAUUAAUUUCCAUUUUUAUUGAGUACAAGGAGAAUAAGAAGGGAAAGAGAGGAAGAGACAGUAUCGUUGAGUAGGAGAGAGAGAGAGAGAGAGAGAGAAAAUGGAACAAGUCUGUCCUUCACUAGCAACUAGACCUCUGAUAUGGCAUUAUUUUCUAUACCAGACCUGCAAGAAAAAUACAACUAAUGGACAUGAUAAGUGUGUACCAUAUAGAAUGGUGGGUGAACAAAAAAUAUUGCACUUCUAGGUUCUUGAACUAGACCUAUUAAAUUUUGAAGACUCGUGCUCUUCAUGCUUAAACUUGUGAAGCACGAUACAGUGUGAGACUGCCCUAGUAUUGACCAAGUAUAUGCAACAUAUGAUAUUUUUCUUUUGUGAGAAGAGUUCAGUGUUAAUUUUUUAUACUAUAUUUGUUAAGUUUUGUUAAGAUAUAGACUUAAAUCACUCCUUAUUUUUCUUGUUUUCUUCUUUGGAAUUAUGCAGUAUAUUUCCAUAUGUAACUUAGUUUUAGAUAAUGCAAUACUCCUUUCCUUAUAGCUGCUCUAGAAGUCCUUGUCGAUAACUGAUUUAUUGUUGCCUUAAUCCACUUAAGAGUCUUGCUGCAUGUCUUGAUGGUCAAGCAAAUGGCAUAGUAUGCAGAUGUAUUGCUAUUAAUAAGCAAACAUGUUGUCUCAAGGUUUCAAAUAUCGGUACAGGACCUCGUACUAGUUUUUACGGGAAUGGUAUGGUACCAGGUACCGACACACAGCAUGGGACUGUGUCCCAUAUCGACUUAUCUGUGUACUGGUACCUGAAACUUGGUGGAAUGGUAUGGUACUGUUCAUACCCCCUUAUUCCGGCAGUAUUUGAAACCUUGUGUUGUAUCUUUGUGACAGAGUUGUAGAUUGUUGUUUCAAAAGGUAACAAUGUUCGGGAUAUCAUGCAAUAUGGAAGAAGAAAACAAUGAAAUGGUGAAAACUUUUAUAUCCAUAUAGUUCAAAAAACUAGCAAGCUUGCAAUCUUAUUGUAAUGGUGUUUAAUUAAGUUGAAGCUGAGUAUGAGUUACACUUUAACGUUACUCUGAUAGCUUAGAUAAAACGUAAUCUUUACCUUGAACCAACUGGUGUCUGGUUGAGAAUAGUAGCAUCCUGGUUCCAUUUGACUCACACGUCAAAAAUAAUGCAAGUCCUUUAGAAAAUAACUACGCUCUAGUAUGUUCCGCCCUUUCUAGGUGAGCAUCUGCUCUUUUCAUUAUUAAGUUGUAAUAAUAACUGCACUGCACACAGUAUAGUUUCAUUGACCUGACAGAUUUUGUUUUCUGCAGGGCGUUUUUAUCAAUCCUGCUUUCAUUGAACCAUUUGGCCUCACCUUGAUAGAGGUUACAAUUUGAUUUCUUCUAUUAUUCUAAUAUAUAUGUAUGUAUAAACGAAUUUUGCUUAUCAGCAUAUCUACAUUCUUUAUUGGAGCAGGCUGCAGCUUAUGGUCUUCCUAUUGUGGCUACAAAAAAUGGAGGUCCUGUUGAUAUACAUCGGGUUGGUCCAUCAUGUGUUUCCUAACCCUCCAGUAGAAAGUUUUAGCAUCUGUUGUGUUAUGGUUGAUGAAGUAUCAUUUAUUGUUUUUUCCCUAAGCGUUUAACUGAAUUUUGCUUCAGGUUCUCGACAAUGGUCUCCUUGUUGAUCCCCAUGAUCAGCAAGCCAUUGCUGAUGCACUUUAUAAGCUUGUAUCUGAUAAACAGCUUUGGGCACGAUGUCGACAGAAUGGAUUGAAAAAUAUUCACCUAUUUUCUUGGCCAGAGCAUUGCAAGACCUACUUAUCACGGUUAGCUACCUGCAGGCCAAGACAUCCUCAAUGGAAAAGGAGUGAAGAUGGUAUUGAAGAAUCAGAAUCAGACUCACCAGGUGAUUCUUUGAGGGAUAUUCAAGAUAUAUCUUUGAACUUAAAACUUUCAUUAGAUGGUGAAAAGGCUGAAGAUAGUGGCACACUAGAUAGUAUCUUGGAAUCUGAAGAGAGUGCUGUUAAUGAAAAGAGUAGAGUGGAACGUAUUGUAUCACAACUGUCAAAGAGUGUUAUAAGAGCCACACAAAAGGAUGCAUCCAGCGAAAACUCUAGUAAGCUACCAAUAUUGAGGAGAAGAAAACAUAUUUUUGUCAUUGCUGCGGAUUCUGUUAGCAAUGCAGAUCUUGUUGGGAUUAUUAAGAGUAUAUUUGAGGCUGCACAUAAGGACAGGACAUCAGGUUCUUUUGGCUUCAUAUUAUCAACUUCGUUGACAAUAUCCGAAAUACACUCUAUUCUCAUCUCUGGAGGCAUCCCUGCUACUGAUUUUGAUGCUUUUAUAUGCAAUAGUGGCAGUGAUCUUUAUUACCCAUCACCAAAUUCUGAUGAAAUGCUUAGCUCUUCCGAGCUUCCUUUUGCAAUUGAUGAAGAUUACCAUUCACAGAUCGAGUAUCGCUGGGGUGGAGAAGGGCUGAGAAAGACUUUAGUUCGUUGGGCUGCUUCAGUUGUUGAGAAAAAGGGAGAAGGUGAGGAACAAAUUGUCAUUGAAGAUGAACAACGCUCAUCUACCUUUUGUCAUGCAUUUAAAGUGAAGAACCCAGCACUGGUAAAUCUCUUGUUUGCAUACUGAAGUCCUUUCUUUUAAAGAAAAAUGAUACAUAUUUCUAGCAGCAUUAAGUUGUAUUGUUAUAAUUUAAAGCAUAUGAAGCUGUUCUUUUUUUUUUCACAGGUUCCUCCUGUAAAGGAGCUUAGGAAGAUGAUGAGAAUCCAGGCGCUCCGUUGUCAUGUCCUUUAUAGCCAUGAUGGUACCAAGCUGCAUGUCAUUCCUGUUUUGGCUUCUAGAUCUCAGGCACUAAGGUAUCAAUGAAAUUUUAGCAGCAUCAUUCUUGUAUCUUUUUGUGAAUUUUCUAUUGAAUGAAAUAUCUUUAUUUGUUUUUCUGGAAAACGCUAUGUUCUUUAUUUAAACUUUAAAGAAUCUUAUGUGUUGAUGUCUCAUAAAAUAAAUUUUUGGAUGGUGUGGAUUCUCUUGACCUAGACUCUUUGUUAUAUUAUGCUGAUGCAGUCAUUAAUUUAUGAUGGCAAAAUACAACUUAUUGCUCAGUCUCGGUUCAUUGUGUCAAAGGGGCAUUUGAGCUCGAACUAAGUUUGAUGACAGCUGUUCAAGCUUGGCUUUUUUUGUGAAUUGAAUGAGCUUGUUAAUGAGCCCACCCACAUAUUCCAUUAAUUUUUGCAAGCCGAGUCCAGGCUCAGCUUGUUCAUGAGUCAAGCUGUAAAUUAUCUUUGAACUUCGCUUGAUUCCUAAUGGAACAAGCUUGAUCAAGCCUGUUACUGUGCUGAGCCUGAGCUGUUCAUAUCAUAAGCCAUGAUAAAAGAAUAAAUUGAAGAAAAGCUUCUUCCUCUUCUUCUUCAUCCUUCUCCUUCUGGGCUCAUUUGGUGAAGGCGGGAAUGGCGGGGAACGACUGGAUCAAUAGCUAUCUGGAGGCGAUCCUGGACGCGGGGCCGGUGAUCGACGCCUCCAAGUCGUCGCUGCUGCUGAGGGAGAGGGGCAGGUUCAGCCCCACUCGCUACUUCGUCGAGGAAGUCAUCACUGGCUACGACGAGACCGAUCUCUACAAGACAUGGGUUCGGGCGGCGGCGAUGAGGAGUCCGCAGGAGAGGAACACGAGGCUGGAGAACAUGUGCUGGAGGAUUUGGAAUCUUGCCCGAAAGAAGAANNNNNNNNNNNNNNNNNNNNNNNNNNNNNNNNNNNNNNNNNAAAAUACUACAGAAAACAUCAUUUAUGCGAAUGAAUUUUUGUGUGCAUCAUUGCUAGUUGUGCCCAUAGUUUCUAGAGCGAGUAGCAUGCGAGAAAUUUAUUAACAAGAGAGCCUAGGGACAAAAACAGGACUUCUGAAUUACAUAUUUAUUGCAAUUUUACUAGUGCUUUAUUUCUACACAAGAUGAAUGGAGUGCAUACAGAUCCAUCUUUCACAUGACUGCAUAGGACUACUAAUAAGCUGCUGAUCUUUGGUUUAACAGUUCUAUAGAUUCUGUUGGUCAGUACUCAGAUGAUGACUUUGGCUUGUUUAUAGCUUAUAUCAGUUUUCUUUGUCCAUAUUCUCUGCUCCACACAUUUCUCUCUGGCACAACUAACUUUACCAGGUACUUUUGAAUUUAUUUGCAAGAUUACUUUUUUUUUUCAGGUAUUUAUAUGUUCGGUGGGGUGCGGAGCUGUCGAAUAUGGUGGUCUUUGUUGGUGAGAGUGGUGACACAGAUUAUGAAGGAUUACUUAGAGGUGUACACAAAACCAUUAUACUGAAAGGUGCAUUUAACCUUGCUCCAAGCCAGCUUCAUGCAGCUAGAAGCUAUCCUCUACAAGAUGUCGUAGAGUUUGACAGCCCUACUGUUGUUCAGUGUGAGGGCUGCAGCACCAAUGGCAUACAGUUAGCUCUGAGCCAGCUUGGACUCCUGAAAGAAUAGCACGGAGCACUCUUACCAUGACAUUGCGGAGCAAAGAACUUCAUCUGAUUCAGUAAGUUGCAGAAUUGUUUCUUUUUUCUGCUUGUUGUCUUUAGAGCUGGCAUUACAUAAAAUUCAGUGACCGCCCAAACUUAGAUCCUUUGUUCUUGAAAUUUUAUUCAAUGCUACUGUAGAUAUCCAUUNNNNNNNNNNNNNNNNNNNNNNNNNNNNNNNNNNNNNNNNNNNNNNNNNNNNNNNNNNNNNNUGUUUCACCCGACAUGACCUUUCUGGCUCAUGUAUUGCUACCUUUAAUGAUCUUGCUUUCGCUUUGUAGCUGCCUUCUUAGCAAAGAUCAGAAGGCACCUCAUGCUUCUUGUUGAUACUUGGUAAAUCUAAGUGUUAAAUUCCUGUUUGCAACCAGGCUCAAGAGAAGUAGCCAAAAUGCCAAGAAUGUUUCUGCGUUGUUGCGUGAAAUGUAUUUUCAGCUGGGAGUUUAAGAGAGCAUUUCCUUUCAUCUCCGGUCAAAAUACAAGAGCCUGAUGACAUUAUGUAGGAACUGUGGCAGAAAGCAAACGGUCUGCUUGUGAGCCUGUUAUGUAACUGAAGUUGACAUUAUCAAGCCAUACCAUUUAUAUACAGGCAUCAUUAUAAUGGAAAGCUUUUCUCUAAAUCUGUUCUAUAAUAAUACAGUAGUUGUACUGCUUCUACUUGUACAGUAAAUGAUUUCAUUUAGUCCUUGCCAGAUCCAAUUUAAUAGUAUUAUGACUGGUGAAGCUUUUUGAAUUUUUGGUUGUUAGGCUUUAUGUCAUCAGCAACUUUAUGAUAUUAGCGAAUGCAAUACUUUAAUGAGCAUGAAUGCUGCUUAGCUUUAGGCUCAUCAAAACUUAAGUUGUGUAGGAACUAUGAUAUCCAAAGAAAAUUAAGUGUUUGUGGCUAAUGGUGGAUCCAAGUUUGGCUUGAUUGCUGACCAGUGGGUUGACCUAUCUUCUUUUUUUUAUCUUUUAGGAGUAACAACCUUGAGGUUCCUCUUCGCUGGCAGGAGUCAAUAUGAACCAAGUGACCACAAUGUUUGAAGUAUGGAGUUGUUUUUUUUUUAAAUGCAUGAAUUAGAAACCAAAAGGUCAAAUCAAUCUAUAAUAUUCAACAUCAAACUUGAAAGUCAUGUGUGAACCUGUGCUGAUCGGAGAAGUGAAAGAAUGAAGGAUCCAAAAGGCUCUUGAAAUGGGACACCAUGAGUGGCAUUUUAUUUGCAGCAUGCAUGAGAAUUUUAAAUACACUUGUUUUAGGUUAUGCAUUUUCUCCUAAGUUUCUAAGCGUGAAUCCUAUGAAAUAAGAUCUCUUUGUGCUGUUUCUUUUGAUAUCUUUUAAUAUGUCAUAAUCUUUACCCUUCUUGAUCCUAGUAUGCAUCUCUCCUCUUUUGAUCCUUGCAUUCUUAUAUGACCUAUAUGGAAGUUUUUCUGACUUCAUUUUGGUUCACUGCAUUUUAAUGAGGCUAUUUUUACCUUCAUUAGGGGUACUGUUUUAUCUUCAUUCUCCCUUUCUUAUCUCUCAUGUUUAGCUCAACACUUAAACGAAUCUAUAUAUGUCUUCUUCUUGGAUUCUCAAAAUCAUCCUUCAAUUUAACACUUAGUUCUAACAGUAUCUUAACAUUCUUAGCUCUUUCCUGAUCCAAAGUAAAAAAGGGGGAAAACGUAAGCAUUUUCACUUCUUUUGUCAUCCUUACAGAUGACAAGAAGUCAGUAAAUUGAAUUUAUUCUUGAAAUUACUGGUCCUAUGGUGGCAUUCAUUUUCUAAGACGGUUACUGUUUUAGGCACUCGGUUUCUGUCAAAUCUUAUUUGUUAUUCAUGGCAUCUUGUUUGUUAAGCAUAUGCCAACAAAUAUAUGUCUAGCAUGUUAAAUAUUAGUAAUAUGUCACCAGAUGGAGAGAGGCCACAUGUAUUAAGUAUCAGCUAAUUUACAAAAAGGGAGAAUGAAAUGGUAAAGUCAUAAUUUCCAACUAUGGUCUUAUUUAUCUAAGACCCAAUCAGAAGUCUAUGAAGCAAACAUAGAGCUUGCUUGUAAGUCUAAAGAUCUAUUCUUAGAGUGUAGAUAAUGUAUGCCGAAUACUAGUAAUAUAUAAUAUUAUCAGUUGUAGAGGAUUUUUGUGAAAAUUUCCUUCUCAUACAUUAUAGAAAAAAUCUUGUUAAAAGAAAUAUGAUUAUGGGAUAGCAAGACUAGUAGUCUACUAGUGGUAAAGUCUCUUAAUAAUUGUACCAUUAGACUUGUGAUAAAUCUUGUCUCAGCAGGCAGGCUGAGGACAUCAGAUAUCUUGAUUGUGUAUACGAACGUUGUAUCCUUAUUUAUGGAAACAAAACAGUAUAAUUAUUGGUGCCUUCAGCUAUAGUCCCCAAUUGUUUUUUAUCGCUUCAUGAUUUCUUUAUAGGUAAGUAUGUUUUAAACUGAUCUAAUUGGAGUGAACAGCGAGAGCUGAUGCUGGGAGGAAACUGCAACCAGCCAGGAGUAUCCGCCAACCACACAUGGACGCGUAUGGCUUCAGAAUAGUUGAAGCAAAUAUCAGCAGCAUAGAAGUAUGGUUGUAGAAAAUUCUGUUAUCUAUUUUCACUUUUUCUUCCGUUUUUCUUCCCCUACUGUGGCUUCGGGAUUAUUUGAGUAUUAAUGUUGUAGAAGUAUAUAUUCCGCAGAUGUUUGUUCAACACGUAACGUAAUCUAGAAGAAGUUACUGAAUCUAUGCUGAUCUACACUGAAAGGUAGACAUAGGAACUUUGCUGACCGGGAUAGCAAGUCAUGGAUCAUGGUCUUGAGACCCAUGGAACAAGCCGGGGGGCUAAGAUCAGAUUUNNNNNNNNNNNNNNNNNNNNNNNNNNNNNNNNNNNNNNNNNNNNNNNNNNNNNNNNNNNNNNNNNNNNNNNNNNNNNNNNNNNNNNNNNNNNNNNNNNNNNNNNNNNNNNNNNNNNNNNNNNNNNNNNNNNNNNNNNNNNNNNNNNNNNNNNNNNNNNNNNNNNNNNNNNNNNNNNNNNNNNNNNNNNNNNNNNNNNNNNNNNNNNNNNNNNNNNNNNNNNNNNNNNNNNNNNNNNNNNNNNAAACUGUGGAAAUUUUUAUCUAGUAAAAAAUGAAUAAAAAGAUCACUAUUAUUUUUCCAUUAUUAUCUGUUAUUUUGUUAUAAUACUAUUAGAACAGCCAUUAGAACAGUAAUUAUUUAAAUUAAAAAUUUGAAAUACUACCUCUUGAGAUGGAUAACGGCUAUUACAAGUUAUAACCAUUGCAGAGGCCAAUAAUGGUUUCACCUACAUUAGAAGGUUUAGGGAUAUCAGGACACGAUAUUAGUUUGUAUAACACACAGGCCUGUUGAGCCCAUCCAACGCUAUAUGCACACAAAAGAAAGGGUUCUGCCUUUGGGCAAAAUACUUUGAAGAAGUAUUGCACUGUGUCAAGUUAACAGAGGCAUGUGGACUGUACUUGAUUUACUCAAAGAUUAUCAUCUUAAAUAAGCAAAAUAAAAUUAUCAAUGAAGUUGAAGGUGCGGGUUUAUCUGUUGUCGUCACAAGUAAAGUCUUUUGGUGAUUGGACCAAAGUUUGUUUAAAUCUUAUUAAGCCAAGCUUAAUUGAGUUAGGUAUGUUUGACUUGAAACUAAAUUCAUAUCCAGAACCCAAAAUCAGGCUCGGCUAAUUUAUAUGUAUGUCGAGCUUGAUCCAAAACCCAUCUUUGUAUCAAGUUAUAUGCUAUUCGAGCUCGACCAACCCUAGAACCAAGUUGAACUCGACUUGUUCAAUACUUGUAUCAAUUGUUGGCCCUACCUUCGGCAAAAUCUGCUCUCCUGACCUUCUAUAAAGUUAUAAAUUUGUUUCUGCAUUUUCUUUUGUGCUGGUCUGCAAUUCUCGCAAAGCCUUUAGACUUACCGUAUUAUGGCCUGUUAACUUGCAUUUUAUACAUUCAAGUUGGUAUCCUUGUGAACUAAUGGGGCAUUGACAUGCAUCAACCUAAAGAUCUAUGAAAGCACAAAUCAUAAUGCACAUUAAUAAUCAUAAAGUUAUGGACCCCGCCAAAAGAAAAUUAGUGAGAUAUUUAUCCAAGUUAUUGUUGAUUUGCCAGAGGCUUAUUAUGAGUAUUGCUCAUGAAUAAAUUAAAUGCUCAGACUAUUUACGAGGUAAUCAAUUAUACAAUUGGUUGGACGCUCAAAAAUUCUCUUAAAGUUAAUAUUGAUUCUUGCUGUUAUUCAUAGCUGCUGCCUCUUGCCAUUUCUAUCAUGAUUAGUACUUUUGAGCCACUUCCAAGAUUUAUCAACAACUAUAGAUCCUAAUCGCUUUGGGAUUUUUUUAAUAGUGGUCUAUUCUCCACUUUCUUUCCAAAUUUCUGACAUUGUUUGAGUCUCAAAUCCAUCCCUUUGGCCGAUUUACUUCAGAAUUAUUAACUUGCCAAAGCAUUAACCCAUCAUGCGUUCCACAGAAGUAGCUCUAGUAAAUGAUGGAGCAUAAUUUACCAAAUCCCUAUCACGCAGCAACGAAGGGCUCCGUGCCCGGCCAACGGCCCUCCAUGCAGCCAUUUUUCUGGGACUGCAACCGCAAGCAACAUGAACUCCUGAAACUGCGGCAAUUUGGCCCUUCCAAACGUCCAAAUGACCGUAUAAGCUAUGAGGUCUUAUAAUAUUCUUGGCCUAAAGUUCAGACUCCGAUGAUUAGCCUCAAGCUUCUCUGUUCUGAACAAACCCAUAAUGCCAUGCCCUACUGCCGGCCAUAAAGCGCAAAUUUAUCAAAUAAUUACCAGCCACCAUAGUUUACCACAGAUCACAACGAUAGUAGUGAAAGAGUAUCCCUGACGCAAAUUUACGAGGAAAAACACGUUAACACAUCUCUACAAGAAACCAGCAUAGAAAGCAUUUCGAAUUGCCAUGCUCGAAGUUAAAAAAAAAAAAAUUUCUAAAUUUUCAAUUUUCACUAAAUCCUGAUAAUAGUACAUUUCAUAAUUGAGCAAUCAUGAGAAUAUGAAACAAAGUUGAUGCCGCUGCCACUUCUGUCACUCCAUGGCAGUGAAUUUCUGUUCUCACAAUCCCGUGCACCUCACCGGCCAACUUGCAUCAUCAAGAACCUACGGGUAAAAAGAAAAGGCAGGUUCCAGUGUUAAGCAUCCUAUAAAGCUGAAAACAAAAUAUCAUGAACAAAAUGCCAUAUUCUGUAAGGUAAAUUAGAGGAUGGAAUCUAGUUGCACAUGGAAUAUGCAGCCGUGUUACAAUCAGGCAUCUCACUUCUUCGCACCGUUACAAGUUCUAACUGUCUUCCAUUGUGCAGCUCACAUAUCAAAUUGUUUGCAAACAACAGAAUCCAAGAAGGCACAGAGAAAUACAAUGGAACCAGCAAAAUUAAGAAGGCCACAAGCAAGAAGUACAACGACAGCAUGUAUAAAGAUGAGUAGGCCACGAGGCUUGAUGAUCUAGAUAUGGACUGUAACAAUCUAAAAAUAAAGAAGAAAAUAAUCUACCAGAGCCAUGGAUACCAAGAAUGCCAUUUAUAGUUGCACAUCCUUACAGGAAGCAUAUUGACCAAUAAGUCUAUGCAUGAUUAAUUUGUUCCCUGUAGGAAUCCCAUAUUAGAUACUAGCUCUAUCGCUCAAUGAACGUGACCAUGGUGGCAUAAUCAAGACCCAGCAAGCAAAACAAUACAUGACAUGAAAAUAAAGCAAAAAAUGUGAAUAAUAUUCUGGAAAAUAAACAAACAAAACCACAACAACAAGCCUUGUUCAAACUAUUUAAAUCAGCAGAUUAAAAGAGGGAGAAAGACACAAAAUUAAGCACGAGAAGCUUAUGGAUACAAAGACGAAAAUUAAAUAAAAUUAGACAAAAAAUUGGAAAGUCAAGUUGCUUGCACCAUCUGUAAAUUAUUCAAAAAGACACUAUUUUUUUUUUUUUAAAUAUAGAUUGUUUCCUCUUUCAGGUUAGUGUUGGAGAAGCAUUUUGCAGGAAAAGCAUGGUAAUAACUUGUAAAACUUUUAAUCACCAAGCACCUGCUCGAAUGGUAUGAGAUUUUUCCCUUUGAGCGAGAGCUCAGGGAUUAACGGUCUCAGAAAGAAAAAAUUGCAACAUGUUUGCAUAUAUUAUAAAUUUAUACAAAGGAGCAUCGAAUUGAGGAUCAGUUAUGCACAGAGAGAAGAAUGCAAUUGAUGCAUUUGAUUUAAAAGCAACAUGCUCAAGGCAAAUUAGAAAGUAGACACAAAGGACAUUUAGUGAUUGAAAAGACAGAAGUUAAUAUUUUGAAAUCAUGCAGUUUUUUCUUUUACUUUUUAAUUCUACUUGAAGGUUUAUUAGGUGAAAACUUAAAGGAAGGGGGGAUUUUUUAACAAUGGAAAAUAUUUUCCAUACCUGCAGUCUUGUUUUUCCAGGCCCAUUCUUGUGCAGCUUGAAUCCCCUGCAGCAAAUGCCAAAGCAGAAUAUUAUUAACAUGACAAUAGCCACAAAAAGUUGAAAUGGAACGGAGGGCUAGAAUUUAAGUAAUGCCUGUUGUGCUCGGCUAGGAUCAAUAACAGAACUAGCGGCCUGUAAUUGUGAGUAAUUUAACUCCUGGAAGAAAAAAAAUGAAACAAGAGGUGAGCCCAAAACAAAUUUGCAAAACAAUGGACAAAGCUAGGUUCCUCAUAGACAACAGAAAAGACAAAAGGUUCAGUCACUAGAAGCUAAAGACAGACAUCGCGAAAGAUGCAGAAUAAAACACAAGUACACAAUUACGAUAUACAAUGGGUGUGAAGAGAGAACCGUACACCACUGCCAAAUUCAGCAAUGGAUGUUGUAAAAUGAAAAAUGUAUACUGUUUAAUAUGUUCUACUGCCUGAAAACCAAUAAACUAUAUCCUGCUAGUAAAAGUAUUAAUCUGAGAUGACUUGGUGCAGAGACGAGAGGUUUCCAAAACAUACGAUUUUUCAUUUCUAGCGUUUUAAACCAAGUAGAUCACAUCCUAUGGUUCCUUUUACAUUUUUAUUUUGCAACACCCAUCACUGAACUCAGCAGUGGAUGUAAAGUUCCCUUUACAGCCGUUUGUAUUAUCUAUGCAUGUAUGUGUAGAGAGUAGAGAGAGAGAGAGAGAGAGACUUCUCUCCUUGCAGGACUUGCUGGUCAAAGUGAUACCAUAACCAUUAAACCUUAUCUUUGAGUAAAUAUACAAACUCUACAAAGAUGUCAUUCAAUCAUUUCUUUAUAAAAACAAAAUGUUCUCUAUUCAAUCAUUACUUGCAAAUCUGAACAUGUGCAUACAUUGGAUCUUUUUAUUGUUCUAUUCACAUAUAGAAAAAGGGCAUUCUCGUGCAUGAGACUCUCGCCAUCACGGAGUCCAGGGAGGGUCAGAUAUAUGCAUCCUCACCCUCAUGUUCAAAGAGGCAAUUUCCAUGUUUCAAAGCCAUAACACUCAGGUCAUAAUUGAGCAAUCGCAUCAUUGCGCCAAGCAUCACCCUCUAAUAUCCGCAUAUAAGUCAAAAUAAUCAUUGCCUCCUAGCUUUUUCGAUUAUUUAUCUGUAGCAUGUCGUUGCGAUCAACUUUCAUAGAAAAGAUGCAAAGGUUGAUGUCAUCACUCAGUGUGACAUCUUCUUACUUUAUGUUGUCAUCAUUUACCACAAAGUAAUUGCAAAACAUUAUCUAGAUUAAUUGUGCCAAAGCGAGUUGGUAUAAACUCAAUGCCAUGCAGUGGAAAAUAGAUGAAAGAUCUUAAAAUAAUAUGGAAAUAUCAAAGAAGGCUUGCUAUAUUGCUCUCCACCUUAUAAAAGAAAAUCUUGGAAUUGAAUCAUCCUAUCAAAGGUUGUAGAUAUUGAACUAGAAGCAAGAUCAAACAACUGAUAUGUCCACUACAGCCACCAUAUGGAGCCAUAAUCUUCAAUCAUGAUUCCUGAUAAGGGCUGCCUCUCAUGCCCAAGCUUUUCAAAUUCUCUAAUGAAUUCGCCUGUGAAUGCAUGCCAUUCACACACCAAUAUUACCUUAAGGCCUUCCUCUUCUUUCUCCAGGCCCUCUGAUAAAGACCUGCAUAUUCCUUCUUACAAGGCUUCCUCAAACUGCAAAUGCCUACAGUAGUCACUUCAUCACUUUGUCCUAACUGGCGCAACUCUUCCACAUCAUCUCAUGUACUCAUCGAUUGGUCACCCUUUCUUAAAUGUACCACAUAAUAAUCUGAAUAUUUUCAUCCUUACCACAUUACCCUCUUUAUCUUUCCGACCAUAGCUUCAUUAUCAUCUCCAUCCACUGAAAUUGCAGUCGAUACUUAGUUUGCUUCUUUUAAUUGCGAAGUCCUUAUCCCCUAUAGUUCAAUCUACAGACGGAAAGCUAAAAAAACAACACAAAAGAAUUACUUUACAUCAAAUCAGUAAAUAGAAAUUACGGUAGCCAAUAGUGAAUGAGGUUUCCAUAUUUUCUAGGAUGCAAGGAAGACAUUCAACACAUAUAUGUGCAAAUAUACUUGUCUUUCCUAUUUAGUUUUUAUCCUGAAAUCUGAAGUUACCUGUGUUGAUGUGUAAACAUGUGUCAGCUGUGAUCAUUUAAUACAUGUUGCACAUGUUAGACAUGCCAACUGCAUAGUCAAGUAAUGCUAGUCGAAUGAUGCAUUACUUGAAUAUAAAUAAUAUAGCAAUUAACAUGUCAAUAUCAAUCAGUACAGAUAUCUAGGAUGAUUUGUGCUAGAUUUACUCAAACUAAUUAACAUCAAUGAAACCAAAAUGUCUAAGUUUACAAAAAACUGGAUAAACAACACAGCAUAGCAUAGCUGUUCUUGGUGAUCUUUGCACCCUCAUGCAUGCGCGCUAACUGUUGGCGCAGCAUACUUAUCAUGCCCCAAGUUUUGGUUUCUACCAAAAUAAGAUGAGUUCUGCUUUCAUAAUUUCAAUGAUUUUGUUCUAGUUUCAACAGUUUUGGCCAAAGAAUCAUAAAAAAAAGAGCAUAAAGUUAUUUUUUAAAAGAGCAAAAAAAUAAAUUAGACAUCACUUUAGAGUAUAUUGUAUUGCUUAGAACAUCAGAUCUAUCAUUUUGGUGUUUUUUUUGAAACAGUCAAAAAAAUCAUUGCAUUUUUUAGAAAUAUAUGAACAUAUAAGAAUCAUGUUUCAUGACUGAAACAGACCAUUUCAUCCUUUGAUGUCAAAAUAACACAAAGAUCUAAUUAUCUAAAUGAUCUGAGCUCUAGGAUAAAGAAACCAAUUUCAGAAAGAUUACUUUUCCAUUAAAUUUCUUAGAAGCCUAAGCUUUCAAUUAUUCUCAGAACUCAUAAAAUCCAUGUUUAUAUGGAAAAGAAAUGCUUCCCAGCAUUUAGAGAAAUAAAAAAAUAGCAAAAAAUAAAGGGGCAUAAACUGUCCAUUGUAGUUGUGGAUUCAGUUCUGGCCAAAACCAAAACAUGUUCUCAUUUCAAUUUCGGAGCAUCAGCAAAAUCGUAAAAGCACACCAUGUUAAUUCCAAGCCGACAUGGGCAUUACGUAUGAUUUAAUCUUCAGGAAAGCAGGUCAAAUUUUCUCACCUGAAACUAGACAUAGCACGGGCAGUACAGCGAAUACCUUAAUCCCUAAAGGAAGCAAGGGACAAGUGUUCAAUUGGAAGGAGCAGUCUUUUUUUUUUUUGGGAACUCAAGCCUGCCAAGACUUUUAAUAAGAUGUCAUGCAAAAUAAAUAUUCAUAUGUUUCAAUCCAUUACUGUGUUUUAAGACAAGUACUUUCAUGAAGUAAAAAUGCUAUAUUUUUCCUGAAUUUGUGAGAAAUGUUUAGUAGAUUAGAUGCAAAUAAACGUAUUAUAAGAUAUAUACGCAUCUCAAGAAUUAUAAUAUUUACAGUUUGGAGAAUCUAACACCAACACAAUUACCAGUAUCCAAGCAACUUCGAUCAUCAGAAAUUCAUAUACAUAGAAUCUUCAAACAAAGAAAACCAUUGACAUCAGUAGACUUCUCAUAUACUAAUUCCCAAUAGACACGUUAUUGCUCUAUUAAUUAGAAAUGAAUAUUUAAUAAUUAACAGGAAUCAACAAGCACAACUUAUUUCCACUUGUACUAUAUCUUUUCUUGCUCGUUUGCACCAAGUAUUGCUGUUAUAAUUGCAAUGAAAGGCCAUUUACCAAUAAUUUCCUAGCAAUCAACUAACAAAACCACUUCCUCAUCUAUUAUAUAAAUACUGCCACUUAAAAUAGCUUCAAACAAUUCCAUACUAAUGACAACUCUAAGGCAAUAAUUUGAUUCUCUUAUAAUCCAGAAUUUACCUGCAUAUUUUGAUGACCAGCUACACCAGAAGCUUGGUACUGAAAACACAAAAGAAAGAAAAAUAGUGAUGAAAAGAACUGGCUUCUGGAAAUAUAAUAAACAGACAAAAUGUACUGACCGCUAUAGAAGGGUGAAGGAGCUGCAACUGUGCCUGCUGCCUCAUCUGCAUUUGUGGCUGCACCUGUUGUGGUUGGGAAACUUGUUGGGUAGACUGAAUCUGUGUAUGUGACUGGGUAUGAGAGGAUGGCGAUUGAAGCUGCUGGACAAGUUUCUGCUGUUGCUGCUGCGACAAUAGCAACUUCUGCUGCUGCUGCUGCUGCUCAAAUAAUGAAAAUUCUUCGGGUUUCUCCCACUAAAACAGUAAAAUUAUAGUCAUUAUCAAAUUUAGAGACUUGCAGAGCAAAUUUUGUAAACCAAAAGGGAACUAAGCUAUAGAGGACUCUCACCUUACUUUCACGAGUAAUGCUAUUGUAGUAGUAUUUAAAUCCUUCAGGAGAAGUGUGCUCUGUCCAGUUGCAAGUUAAAGGAACUGCAGGUGUAGUAGAUACCGGAAGUGAAGGAGUAGCAGACCUAGAUGAAGGCAUAACUGCAGCUGGUGUGCUAGCAGGAGUGCUAGAUGUUGAUGCCAGUCCAGUCCAGGCAGACUGCAGAAUGCAUUUCAUAAAUGAUGAACCAGUUAGAUGUAAGGCAGCAAAAAUAUACAAUACGCUCUCUCUCUCUCUCUCUCUCUCUCUCUCUCNNNNNNNNNNNNNNNNNNNNCUCUCGUCUCUCUCUCUCUCUCUCUCUCUCUCUCUCUCUGUGCGCGUGUGCGUCUGCAUGUGUGUGUGUGUGUGUGAGUAUAUGCAGUACAAUGUAGGAUAGCAACACCACCACCAAUAAACAACGAUCUUCACAUUGAAAGAAAUAUAAUGCUAACCAGAAGGUAGUUAAAGCAAGAGCAAUGUUGAUUAUAGUCCAUUGAAAAAGAAAAGAAAAAACUCUCGAACACAAGCUGGAAGUUCUGGUCAUCCAGAAAUUAACUAAACUCUACCAAUCUGAACAUGCAUUACCUGUUGUUUACCCGCUGGGGAAAUUUGCUGCUGAUUUACAUUUGAUUGUUGCAUUAGCUGCAGCUGUUGUUGCAGCUGGAAAAUUGCCUGCUGUGAAGACUGAAAGCUUGAUUGUAAGGCUUGUGCCUGCUGCUGGAGCAGUAUCUGUGGCAGUUGCGAUGGCAAUUGUUGGAUAGGCUGCUGAAGCAGUUGUUGGGUAAUGCUUGAUGCAGGAAACUGCUGUUGAUUAGCAACAGCAGGCAUGGCAUGCUGUUGGAGGCUUAAAGGAUUCUGCAGUGCACUGGCAGAGGCAUUUUGCUGGACUGAAGGCUGUGAUGUGGACAACUGUGCUGCCAAACCAGGUAAUUGUUGUAAUGGUAGAUUUUGGCCAUAGGAGGUUAGGCUACCAGAUUGAGGGACCUGAAGCUGUCCGAGCUGCUGCAUUGGUGCAUGCAAAUUUUGAGUCUGCGAUUGGGAAGCAGGAGUUUGUUGAUUUUGAUGCAGUUGCAGAGAAGGUGAGAAGUUUUGAGGGGGCAUAAGUGGCUUUUGCAAUGGUGAUAUUUGCUGACCAGCAACAGGGCGAACUUGUGUCAUUGAAGGGUUGAAACCCUAUAAAACAUAAACACAAUAAUGAAAUCCAGCAUAUUGAUUUUCUGUAUCCGUUGUGUCAUCAUAAAUAUAUGGGACAGGCACAAAAACAGAAAAAGAAAAACAAAAGAAGAUCGCAGUACCUGUUGCAAUGAAGAAGAUGGUAUCCCUGAAAGAUUCGAUAAAUCUCCAUUUGUAGGACCACCAGUUACUCCCAAGGUACCAGACUAGUGUCAACCAAUACAAAUUGGACAAAAAGAUUGGACAAAAAGAAUUACUAAGACAUAAGUGUAACAUAUAAUAGGAAAAAAGAUGAUUCAUAAGAUGCUUACUGCUUCUGACGAUGUUGCCAUGACACCACCCUUGGCAGCUGACUGACUACCAGAUUCAUGUGCAUUGAAGUGAGAAGAUGGUCCCAGUGACCGUGGACUUGAUGGAUGCCAAGCAUCAGGUGGCAUGCGUCCACCUCUAGGCUCAUCAAGAUUGGCUGUGGGCCUGCAACAAAGACAUUUGGUUCAAACAUAGUUAACUAAAAAGGUGAACAGAAAAAAAGAAAUAAUUCUGUUAAAAUCAAUCUACAACAAUGUUUUAGGUCUUCAAGGUGUUUCUGAGACAAACCAGCAUGGAAAAGUUGAGUAAAAAGUAAACUCCAAUAAUUUUUUAUUGCAACAAUGUGGGUUUCCCCAAACACUUUAUUUUUGCACCAUCGAUUGGAAGUUCAAUACUGUGAAGCUACUAGAAGGAAAAAGAAAAGGAUGCUUUGAACAUUCAGCGUGAUCAGCUCAGGCAUGAGAUUGAAAAUAAGAGGAAAAACUUGUUCACACGAAAACUUUUGCAAAAUACAAAAUGAGAUAUGAGGAAAGGCAACAAGUAGAGAAAGAAAUGGCACUUCCAUCACAAAAGGAAUAAAGGAAAACUAGGGGAUCAAGCAGUGACAUAGAAAGCAGAAUUAUCUAUUAUUGUUCAACACAUUGCCUCUUCUACUAGUACUUUGCUAUAACUGUCUGAGUGGACACCUUCAAGGAGUUGGAGUGAAAUGAAUGAGAUAUUCCUCCCUCUGAGCUAUUCUUUGAGACAUCAGUGUGCACAAAAGACUUAAAAUAGGUGUAUUUACAUCGUAAAGUCACUGAUAGGAACUUUGGUGUACACCAAUGGCCUUUCUAAGAUCUAUGAAAUAUUACAACAAGCUGUAUAGAAGCAGAAUGGGACAUGUUCGGCAUCAAACCUCAUUUAUCCACAUAAAUCAAAAGUAUCGAUAGCCAGAUACUAACAUUCAUAAUGGUGCCCAACUGCUGAGGGAAUAUCAGUAUCUGUAUGGUAAUGCUGGUCUCGUACCUAGUGUCGGUAAACGGGGUGUACGACUGAACAGGGGGGGGUGUACCAACUGCAAGUUACCUACCAGUCUGGUUCUGUGUACCCUGUAUGCUGGUAUGACCUGGUAUUUAAAACCUUGAUCAUAGGUUUUUCUCACUUCUCCAUCUAUUACCAAAUUUAUUUCUACUGACCAAACGAUUUACUAGCUCAUGUCAUGUCUAAUUAAGGGUCACAGAAUCUUGUCUUACAUCUUCACCUGCAAAGAAUGGUUGCAUCGGUCCUAAAUAAGUACCUGAUUAUUAAUGCUGCAUCAGAUCGAGGACUGAAACCAGGACCCCCAAAAGCAGGGCCACCCCUACAACAGAGAGAAAUAAUAAACAAAAUUCAGAAAGAUGACAAAAUCUUCUUUAUAUGCACGAUUUCUAAAGCUGGGCCUAAGGACUAGCAAGCUUUUUACUGUAAAUAAUUACUAAAAGAAAACGAUAGGGAGAUGGACGGAAUCUAAAAAUUUAUAAGGACCUUGGUUCUGCAGGCCUGGGCCUCUUAGGAUCAGCAAAACGAACAAUUAAUGGCUGAUCACAUCCCUGAUGGCAGAGGGAGAACAAAUACAUCAUCAAAUAAGGCCCUAAGUAGAGAAAACUGAGCACUGUUUAGGAGAAAAUUUACCCUCAUCACAUAAUUUCCAUGAAGGGCAUUCAUAGCUGCUACUGCAUCCUCUCUAGAUGAGAAUUUUACAAAGCCACAUCCUUCAUACAUUAAACAAAAUACACAUCAGAAAACAUAUCACAAAAGUUACAAAUAUGUGCAAGAAAAGCUUAUGCAAGGUGUACAAGGACAUACCGCGACUCUGUUUUAAUUCAUCUUUCAUAAUGUAGACAUCUUCAACACGACCAUAUUGAGAAAAGAUCUGCCACAAAUUUAUCGGACUUCAAGAAAGGUUCAGGUAGAUAAAUAGGAUCAAGAGAUAGCACAAGUAUUAAAAAGAAUAAGUAAAAGAAUGGUUUUCCGCAUAGUUAUUUUUUGCUUACAGUAUUUGUGUUCAACAUACUUUUUGAAGCAUACGCCCAUGAGUAUAUAUACAUACAUACAUAAACAUACAUAAAUCUAUGGAUGUAUAUGUAUAUGUAUAUGUGUAUGUAUAUGUAUUGCAUAUACGUAUUUAUAUGUAUAUAUGUAUUUGUAUGUGCAUGCAUGCAUGUAUAUUUGUGUAUUUAUUUAAGUAAAAACACUAGCAACAGCACAUAAAUUUCUACUUUGAAUCUAGGAAAGAUGUUUUCAUGUCAUAAUUUUGUGGUAGCCAAAUCAAGAAUGGAGAAUGCAUAUUCAUAUACACAAUGUAUACAUGCUGCCAAAAAACUUAGUCUCCUUCAAGAAAAAGUAUAAAGAAAGCUUACUUCCUCGAUCUCCUCACUAGUGGCUUGUUUAUUAAGCGAUGCCACAAACAGUUUGCGUUCAACGGCGCCUAAGAAAUAUGCAGAAAUAAGGAUCAAAAUGCAAUUAAACCAAAAACUCCUGAGUCCGAUGUACAUGAAUGUGUGGCUCUUAUAAAUAGAAAUGAUGGUUCACAUUAGCAUACAGUGGUCAUCAAAGUGAAUAAAAAAUAGAUUACAUAUAUAAGCAAGCAAUAGGCGUGUAAUAUAAAGUUUGUAUGAAGACCUUGCUUCGGUCAAGCACAAAUCUAUCAUGAAAUAUCUCUGCAAGAUAUGUUUAAUGAUCCUAUAACAACACUGAGAUAUCUCACUGUGCAUAAUGUUAGCCUAGCAGCUUAGAUUACGCAUGGGGGCACUUCAGUAUGCCCAGUUUUGUGUUUAGAGUAACCACACUUCAUCGUAGGAACAAUGCAACAUUGUCCAACUCUUGUUUAUUUGUAGGAAAGGGAUUGAACUAUCUAGCCAUAUUUUCUUGCCUUAAGGAUAAUAAUAUCAUGUCGAGUCUUGGAAACACUUCAGUGAUGCAUGUGUAAAGUAAAUUACAAUCCUUUUUAAUCAUGAUGACCUUUAAGUGUCUCAAGGUGAAAGAGUAGAAAAGCUUAACUAGGAUCUUUAUUAAUCGUGAUAACCUUUAAUAUUUUGCAAGAUCAAAAGAGUUUAAAGGCUUGUUGAAAGUCAAAGAAAUAUUUUGAUCCUAUCACCAUUGCUAUGUUUGAAUCAUUAAUCAUAUAUUGUCCAUUACCUGUCUUAGAGUAACAAGAAUCAACUGAAGAAUGCUACUUACAGCACUUUAGGUCUUUGAAGCUUGAUAAAAUUCUGUCUUGACUUGACCCAUCAGAAAAUUAAGAAAGUUCGGGUUUUCCACCUACAGUAAUACUGAUGGCUAACAAAAAAUCAACUCAGUAGUGCUAUUUAGUAGCCUGUUUAGGUCUAGCAGCAGGAUAUAUUUGUGUUUCCCAUUUGCUUCACCACAAGUAGGCUGCAGGAAUUUAGACACUUUACCAAGCAAAAUAAAUGGUCUCACCAACCACCCCCUCUACCCUCAGGUUGCAACAUAGAUCCAUCUCCGACUANAAAGGGAAAAUAUGUAAGCAUAUGGACUGCAAAAGGAACUUGUCUACCAAAACAAUCGCUAGCAAGAUAAUCUGCCAGGUCAUUGAACUCCCACAUAUUGCAAAUUAUAUUUAUGCUGCCAAGCGAUAGCAUUGCUUGAAUCAUUUCAAGGAUAAUCUUAUUGUUAAAACAUGAAAACCAUCUACAUUGGUUAUAAAAUGUGUUUAAGCCUCAAUUUAGUGCAGCUAUUCACACCAAAGGGUCAUGAAACCACAUAAAGUGCCAUUUCGUAGUGAACCCUCAGAAAACCACCACGAGAUUGAACCCAUUAAUAAACAAGCCACUGGAAACUAAACACUAACCAAUACCCAAUGGUAGAAACCUCUUCGUAUUUAUCCACUCAUCCAAUGCCUAAUAUUAUAAAACAACUCCUCCGACAAUCUCCUCACAAAAUCCCCGUGUCAAUUCGUAAGGGUUCAUCUUCUUAGCUCCAAGAUCUAAAUAGGCUACACGAACAUCCUUAAUAUCCUACAAGAAUGCCCACUGGAUUUCAUCAAAUAAAGGAAGUCAAAACACUCAUUUCUUUCUGUCAUAUGAUCAAAAAAGGAUGAUCAGUCAAUUGCCUAUCAUUUGAAAUUUUCAACAAAUCAAGUAAAUAUGGUGAAUUACGCUUCUAAUAUAAUUGCAGGACCUUGUCAGCCACCAACUAAUCAAGGACUUCUAUCCCAAAAUUGACAAGCACUAUCCAUAUGGAAUCUGGCAACAAGUGCAAUUGAGCUUGUAAGAUUCAGUAGAGGAGGUGAAGAAUAUUCUGUCAAAGGGCCAUGUUUGAGCAUUCACAUCUUUCCAUGCAUCAUGAAAAGCAUUACAUCCAUGUAUUAAAAAAUGAUUAUCAAAAGGGGUGCUUAAACCAGAAAAACAGAAUGAGAAUCCAAGUUGAGCAGGUAUAUUCUCAUUUCACCAAGUGCUGGUGAUCCAACAAAAACUACACUUUAAAUAACCACCACCAAAUAGGGAAAACUAUUGUUUAUUUAGAACAACCACCAUCAAGACUCGCAAAUGCAAAUGAUAGGAGAGCCAAAAGUACAUAAAAUAUAGAUUUAUGUGGUUCCGGUGAUUCAGCAAUAACAAUUGCUACACACAACCACCAUCAAAUUUGUGAAAAUAUUACAAUAAUUUAUUUUAGCACAAGAACAAUCUAGAUUUGCACAUUCAUCAUAUAUUGCCAAAUCUAGACAAAGUAUAAAUUUAUUUGGUUGUGCAAAUUUUGGAGCUCAAACCGUUGAAAAUUGUAACUUUUGGUGUUGCAAGCUAAAUUUGGAUUUUGCUGCAGAUGGCUAUUUGAUGCAAAACAUCACGUGUAUACAAGAAUGACAUAUAUUUGCAAAGAGAUCUUUUGACGGAUAAAUUGAUGUAAUCAUUGAAAGCAGUUGUAUAAAAACAUUAUCCAUUAUCUUCCACUGUUCUCAUGUUCUAUGUAGCAAACAGUUGUAGUCUUGACAAGUUCUCAGAUAAAAUAAAAGUGGUAUUUAGAUGAUUACCAUGACGUUCGCGGUCCCCAUCAGCAUAUCUAACUUGUAUAGGGCCAGAUCCCUGAAGAAAUCAAAAUUUAAGUUGCCCAGAAAAGCAAAAACACAUGGAGGAUAGAAAAGCAAUACACUCACCCCAGGCAAAGUAUAUUGAUUAUGUAAAGCUCUGAUAGCUCUAUCAGCCUCCUCUGAAGUUGCAUAUUUAAUGAAACAACAUCCUGUAAAUAAAUAAAAAAAAAAAUUGUUCCUUGAUCCCAGUGGAUUAUUGAAAAUUCUUUCCUAUAGAUGGUACAAGCUUCUGGAUUUACAAAUCUAUUCUACAAAGGCAUAGAGAGAAUAAUUAAACAGAAUAUUAGUGCAGACAUCUGGAAGAAAUUACCAAUGAAAAUUUAAACAGUUAGUGCAAGACUUCUGAACGAGGGAAAAAAAGACAAGUAGACAAGUAUGUGCUACCAACAAAUUAAUAUAACAUAUCCUGCAAAUUUAUACAAAUGUGGUGAAAUGAUUUUAAUGAUUACAUGACUCCAGUGCAAGGUAUUAGUUGGGGCAAGGGUUCCAGUAUGCCAUUACUGAAGAGCAUGACAUAAGAGAUGCUAUAAAUAACUUGAGGUCUACAAACAACAAUAUUUCGACUUUUAUACCCAGAUCUACAUAGCUAGGAAGACAACAAUAUUGAGGACAUGAGAUCUCUUUAUUUGCAUCUAGGUACCAUGCAAUGAAUCCACCACCACUAUUUACUAUGCACCGUUCUUGAUCAGUUUCAUAGUAAUUUUUCCUCUCUAUUUACAAAAAAACCCACAAAGUUGCACCUAUCAAUGCUAAAGCAUUCCAAGAAUAACUAUAAAUGAAAAGAGAAUUAUUGAUCCUAUAAAGGAUGAAUCAACCUGGACAAAAUAUUGUUCCCUGAAAUAUUUCUUGAACUCGAAGAGAUUCCUUCCAGCACAAUAAUCGAUUGCUGCCAAAGAAUGCGCUAGCAAAUUUUCACACUCAAAGGUACGUGGUUGAUAAAAGGAUCGAUCAUUCAAUGUUACAUGUGAUUUCCUAGAACAAUGCAAUCCUCCAGAGUCAAGACAUUAUACAUUUUUUCACCAACUUUCAGGAGGCCGUAGUAGGACAAAUCCAAUUCUUUUUAAGGAAACUAGGGUCAUUUUACCUGCAUCUAAGUGACAAAGCUGUAAGCAUAUAGAACUACCUCGGUACCAUUAUCCUUUGAACACAGACACAGAAAGAGACAUAUCUGAGCUAAACCUUUAUGGUGGGAUUCAGAGCUUGCAUCAACCAAACACUACAGCAAUAUAAGCGAGAGCUGAAAUAGCACAACUCUGAUUAUAACCUAGAGAGAAUCAAUCUUACUUAGGAAAAGAAUAACAACACUAAUCACCACAGUGAACCUAGCAAAUCAAUCUCAACUUAUUUUGGUAAUCAGGCUUGUUACUUGUACUGUGGAGCAAGAGAAGGCCAUGACUUCUCUACUGGUCUCUUCCAUUGACCAUAAUAUUUCCAUAUGCACAAACCUAACCACCAAGUGUUUCCACACAAAUAAAAUUAGCAUUAAGCAUCUGUCAACCGUACUCAAGACAUAUAACGAAAUCUUAAACCACUUGCAUUGCAUUGUCUUCCAUCAUCUAAAAGCAGAUAAAAACAACACCCACAACACAAAAUCCAGUGCUAGCCAUAACAAGUCAACCAUCUAUACAUGAGGUACAACAGCAUAAGAAACUAAACUGAUACAAACAACCAAUAAAAUUUUUCUGCAACAGAAUCAAACGCUGGGACAACAUAAGUGAAAUGUAGAAGAUCAUGUUUUGAUAAGCAGUCAUCUGUUGGUCAUAUAAUCAGAUAAGAAUGGCUUCCGAAAAGCCUUGCUGAGUCACAUCCUUACAAAAUGGACAAAAAAUAAAAAAAUAAAAAAAGAUGAACAUAGUAAUCUUGACCAUGCUUCCAGAUCGAGAAGGUUCAACGACAGCGUAUGUUACAGACUCAUCAAGAGAGAUGAUAAACUACCAGAAAAAUAACACACUGCACCACCUUAAAAGAGAAAAUUAAUGAUGCCUAAGAAGCAGGAUUUAUAUCUUUGAGCAUUUACUAAUAGCCAAGUGCUUGAGUAAAUUCAAACCAAAAAAAUGAAACUAUCAAAUACCACAGAAAAAUCUAACCAUGCACAAUUUGUCCAUAUGUAGGAAUAGCUUGAAUCACCUGUUGCUUUGAAGCAUAAUACUACUAAGUUCUAUGCUUUCCAACCAUCUUGUAAAUUGCAUUUUGAAUUUAUCAAAUCAACAACCACUACAGUUCAGUGAGACAGUAAAUACAGUUUUCCCCAGCAUACCAAACCAAAGGAUCCAGAUCCAGGCCAUCCAAACAAUAAGAGAAACCUCAAAACAAGACAAAAUCAGCAAAAAUGUCCAUCCAAGAAAAAAAUCAAGGCAAUGCUGGUGGCCAUAUUGGCAUUUGAUAGAUACACCAUUUUUUCAGUAAGUGCAUAGAUAUAAAACCUUAAAGGCAACUUCUGUCAAUCAAGUUCUAGUUUUUGGAGACUUGCUUCCCCUUCUCUUUUAGAGGAGGGACCUGUUGAUAUACACAUCAAAAUAAGUAGAAAAAAAUAAUUUAGUUUCUUCAACUUUGAGGAUGCUAAUUAUUUCACCAGGAAUAGAAAAGGAAUGUCAAGGCUGAAACCAAAGUUGGGAGGAGAAAGUACCAUCACAUGGAACUUAGUAGCAAGUUAAUAUCGACAGGCUCUUUUAAAUAGCUUAUCAUCACAAUAAUAAAUAUAUAAAAAAAAUGCAUUCUACAUUAGAUCUUUAUAUCACCCAGUGAUUUCAUAACUGAUCUUACUGUGCCCAUUUUACUACUAUACUGAAAAAAUGAACAUAUCAAUAUAUUAAAUACAUUUCAGCAAGAAGAAAGUUGAGUAAAUCUUUCUACACUGGCAUGUGUUAGACAUUCUUGUUAUCAAGUACACCACAGGUAUGGCACCAUAGGUCCACUCUUACGGUGAUAUACCAAUAUAGUCCAAUUUGGUUAGAAGCCAUCAUUUGGAAUGUGUUUCUAAUUUAUCAGGGUAUCAAAUGAGAGAUUGUGGGAUUUGAUUGCAAUUGUUAAAACAAACAUACAUGAAAUAGAUUUCAAAUUCAAAACGAGAAAAAAUAAGAGAAAAAAUAAAAAAGGCAUGGUUACAAACAGCACAUAAAGUAUAACUGAUGACAUUUGAGGUACAAUCUGAAAAGCUAAGAAACGGCACUUUACAACCAGCAUAAUGUUGUCAUGCAUCGAAAGAUGACAGAAAAGUGAACAACAGUAUGUUCAGUAAAUUAAUAUAUCAAGAUAUUACAGUAACUUGAAAUGGCAGGAGACUCAAACAUCAAACUUUGACUUUCCAAAGCAACAGUCCUCUCACUAAGCUUCAGGACUAUUUUUCAGAAAUCCGUGGCAGUGCACCCAUUACACAAAAGAAAUCAUGGUUCCAUCAUAAGAGAUCAACCUCCCCAUUGGAGAUUAUUGCAUCAAAAGAGUUGCCGCAAGAAAUAGUGCUGUUAAAAUUGAUAUGAUACAACUAGAAGUAACACCAAACAUCUCAAAUCUAAUCUUCAUAUCCUAAGAACUAAGACCCUGAAAAUGUUCAUUGCAAGAGAGAGAGAGAGAGAGAGCACAACUCUACAUAUUGAGCAAUACUGGACGGAACUUGCAAGCAAGAAAUGACCAACAGGCCACUGGUAUAGAUCGUCCUGAAAUUUUUUCGUGCAUGGAGCACAUGAUAAUUUUCAAUGUACCUGCUGCAAUACCCCCAGUAGUAGCUCAAAGUUACAGAACAACUUUCACAAAUAUGAUAUCAGCAUUUCCGUGCAGGGUAGAUAAGGUGAACAAUGCUUGAACAGCGCACAUCACAAGUCAACAAUAUAUCAGAAUAUUUGGAGUUGGAGUUUCAUAUCGCAAAAAAGAAAGAAUGUUUACGAAAUAAUCCUGAUAAAAAUAAAACCAAAAUGCUGUGCCAAAGCAGAACAUCAGUCACCUUACGCUCAUGACUGGAAGAUAUAGAAUGGCAUCAUCAAACAGGAUCAUCAACUUGCAAGAUUAUAAAACAAAACAUUUCAGCCUAUUGCACCUACCCAUUCCAGGCAGCAGACAGCUGUAGCACUUAAGAAUCUCUAGAAACUAGUUGUUUCAAUAAUAUCUAACACCAAAUAUGAUUUCAGAUAGGUUGUAACAUCAAAUUUCAAUGAACAGACUCUCAUCAGAAGGUAAAAUCUCUGUACUUGCCAAAUACAGCCAACUAUUUUUCACAACAUCUUGGCUCAAAAACAUAGUGCUCACAUGCAUAAAACAAAAUCCAUCCAGGUCCACCCCAACAGAGUAAAGGCACAUGAAAAAACAUCAUCAGCACAUUUCUAAUCCACAAAGGCAACAUCAUUUUUCUCAACCAUCCAUUCAUAUCCAAACCAGAAAGGAAAACAUCAGGUGAUCAUCAAACCAGCUGCCCAUGUUCAGUCCAAAAACAAUAGAUAAAUGCUCAGAACACCAACCAUCCAUUCCCAGUUCACAAAGACAAAACAAGUCAUUUCAAGUAAAAGCCAUUAAGAGAGCUUUCUAUUAGAUAAAAUUCAUGGCAAUAAUUUGCGUGCUUCAUACUGCCAGUGGGUAAACUUAAAAGAUAAUGUUCACUUGCAAGAUAAUGUUCACUUGCAAUAAGAGAAUGGCUGAAACUUCCACACAGUGAAAUUUUUGCCAUCUGAUUGACAGGGAACCAGAAUACAAGAUAAGAAGCACAAUGAUAGUUAUUAAUUAAUAAAAUGUUUAAACCAACCAGAGUUCAAAGGUCACCCCAAAUCAUCCAACAUCCUGAACUGCUAUGAUGAAAUUCAAAGCCAUUCAAGGCAUGAAACAAGCCCUAAUAUGAAAAAAAAUAUGUAAAAGUUUUCCAGUAUUUAAUGUCGUAGACAGCAUCCUCAACACACAAAAAAAGGUGCAUAAUGCUGUCACUUGCAAUACACCAUUUGCACAGGACUGAACAACACGGCAGAUUAAUGCUACAAAGAAAAGGACCUAUCAACUGCAAAUAACUUGCUUGAUAGUGUUGGCAAAAUGCCCUGCCGCAGUGUGGUACUAGAGCAGAAUUUAUUUACAACCAGACAUUUAACUGCUAUAAACAAACAACUUUUAAAAGUUUCCAUGAUCUUGUCUUUCUUCUGGAUGCACAAAAAGGACAAAAUGGAAACCUUGCCAACUAAAACCACAAGCACUCACAACUGUUGCAUAACCUAACUGAGAGGAGGCAUGACCUUAUUGCUCCAGUUACCCCCCAGAAGACCUGGAAAACAGACACAGAUACAGAUCACAAAGAAAUCAGAAAAUGCAUCCGAACGUACCUUGUUGCUGUCCAGUUUUCCUAUCCUUGAUCAAAGCCACUUCAAUAACCUCUCCAUGUUCCUCAAAUAAGGGUCGAAUCUAAGAAGAAAUAAGUAGCUUAUUGAGAUGAAAACUCUAUGCUAAUAUACAGAAACAUCUACAAUGAUAAAGAUGGAAGGCAGAUUUGACCAGGAAGACACUUUUUUGGGUAAUACCAGGAAGCACAUUAGAUAUGUAGAUGAACAUUCGGCAAAAUAACUGCCUUAUGGUCCCCAUAGACCGUAAAUAACAGAUAACUUUAAAAAAGGAAAAACAACUAAAACAAGAAUAGCUAAAAGGAUCAAUUGUAUAACAAUCUAUCGCAAAUAAUGAUAUGUUCAAUAGGCAUCUCAUGGAUGCAAGAUUCAAAUUAACAAAUAAUACAAUUCCAUGUUUGAAUACUUCUGUCCACUGACAGUGAAUAGAUAAGCAAUCCAAAAUCUGGAGCUUCGAUGCCACCAUUUCCACCAAAAAAAUCAGUUUGAUAACCACUACUAUGCGAUUUUAGUUAUCAAUAAAACAACAGUAGAAAACUAGGUGCCACCUAAGCUAUAACCAACAGGCUGAGCUCAAAAAACUCUUAAGUUAGAUUUAUAACCCAUAAUAAUGAUAUCAAAAUAUGGGAAUCCUGUUAGCUUCUUGCAAUCCAAAUUACAGCCUCCAUUCUAUAUCUCACCUUGUAAAACCCUUUGACAAUGAUCAUCAAGGUUUGCAAUCUACGUACCAAACACCAUACGGUACCCAACCAGUACACACCAUAAAGAGUAUUGGUAAGGUACAUACCUCAGUACUGACACUCAGUACAAGAGGCAUACCAAGCCUCAGCAAAAUUGCAACAUGGUACAGUAUGCCCUGUACUAGGUGGUACAGCUAGCAAACCAUGAUGACUAUCAAGAUUCCAGUUGCUAAUAAAUAAUAUACAUAACAUUUGUCCAACACCAUAUCCAUAGUAUGAAAAAUGACCUAUUAUGUUCAAAGCAAGGAUUUAAAUACCGGUGUGUACCAGAUGAACGUCAACCAAACUAGAUCAUUGUUAGGUUACUGAUAUCGGUAACUCCAAUAUCUGUUGGCAUUGCAUUGGUUAACAAAUUUCUGUGCCAAUUUGUAACAUACUCUUAUCAUAUGACAUGGAUCGUGGCACAAGGGUGUUGGCCCGAUAAAAAGGCAAAAUAUUCAUCCGACCCUAUAUUAGUAAAUAUCAGGUCAUAGGAUUUGGUAUAUACCAGCCACAUCAUAUUAGCAUUUACGCCUACCCUAAAUUAGUAUAUAUCAGGCCAUAGUUGUAGUUGCAAUAUACCAGCCACAGCAUAUUAAAAUAUAUCAGCCAAUUGGCUCACAUUAGCAUAUACUAUAGAUAUCAGGGGAGCUCAUAACAAUAUAAGAAUAGUAAACCAGCAUGAAGCACAAGGGGAUACAAAUAUAUCUCACUCAUUAUUUCAAGAAUGGUUUGGCUUCAAAAUUUUCUCUUACAUCCCCUAUCUUUUUGAACAUCUUAGAUCCGUUUUGCUUGUUUAAUCGAAUGUACUAUUAGUAAAAUGCGUAAAUGUUUAUAUCUUUAUAUCCAAAAACAUCAUGUGUUCAAUAUUGCUUCAUAUGUUAGAUUAGUUUAUAAAGCUCUAGUUCUUAAUUGACUACUCAAAACAAGGAUCUAGGCCCUGCCUUAAUGGGACAAUAUUGUUCCAAUAAGAAAAUGGGACAGGGACAGGUGCAGGCUCUCCUCAUAUGUUAGAUGUCCCAGUUCUCUCGUAAACUAAGACAUCCCGACUGUCCUCAUCCAUCCUAACAAUAUCAGUUGCAUCCCAACACUUGAGACAAACCACAAUAGUCAAGAUGAACCGGGACAUCGGGGUGAAUCGGGACAUUUUUUUAUUUAUCCUUGUAUUCGUGUUGCUACUGAUUGUUUUGGUCCGUACAGGCCAUACCAUACUAUUUCCAUAUCAUACCAUCCCAAGAGCAAACACCAAGGCCCAAUACCAAGGUUUAAACCCUUGGUUCAAAACAUGUCUUAAAGGCACUACGGCCCGUUCAAAAUACCCAAAAGGAAAGAAAUGAAUGGUUAUUCCACUAUAUCUUAGCAUGACAUGAGUCCCAUCUCAAUUCUUACCAAUAAUGAGCACAAUAUCUUACUCUGCCAAGCCAAAAUCAGCAUGAGCUAUAUGAGCAAGCAUAUUCCUUGGUGGUGAGUUUCACAGUCAAAUCCCUCAUCUUUCUUAAAGUAACUUACACCAAUCACCUCUCUACCAUUUGCUCCAUUUUUGUAUUUCAUUAAUAAAGUCCCUUCAUACCCAAAAUUUUAUCAGCCCGCAACACACCUUGCCAGCAUGGCAAGUUUUCUUUACAAUCUCCAACUUAUUUCCUAAACCAGCAAUAUUAAGUCAUUCGAGCAUUUAGGUGUCCUAAAUCAAGACUAAAACAUUAACAAUAUACAGAACCAUUUCUACAAAAAUUAGACUAUAAUUAUUGUAACAAGCACCACCUUAAAAGCCCUCACUUUAGGACGAGUUAUUUCAACCUUUCAUCAGAAGAAUGAGAACUUAGUUGUCAGAAUGUUGUACAAUUGAAAACUCCCCAAGUUAAACUUCCUCAAAUUUGGCAAAUACUCAUCAGCAAGGCAACACUAGAUGACAAGAAAAUUGACUUCAAAACAAGAUUCUAUUUUGCAUUUUAACAUGCAAUGAAACACCUGAAUAGUUCAUCAGCAAAUAAGAAAUAAGUAAAAUCAGUGAACAAUUAAACAUCAGAUCACUGCUUAAAACAAAUGGUAAGCAACAUUAAAUGACAACAUAAUUGACUUUAGUAUAAGAUUUUAUUCACAUUCUAACAUGCAAUGAAGCACUUGAAUAGUCUGUUAGCGAAUAACAAAUGAAAACAAUCAGUGGACAAUUAAAUAUCUGAUCACUGCUUUGAAUUUAACAUAUGCUAGACCAAUAAGGUGAUAUCAAGAUACCUAUAGAUUGUAAAAUGAGGGUAGUAGCUAGAAACAGCAUAUUAGCCAAUUAUCUACUAUAUAUAAAGGAAACUCCUGGAAUUGGGCAGUCCAAGAUGGAUUUUAGGAGUAAGCUUCCAUCUGCAAGACCCAUGUUUUAAAUAUGUGAGGGCACUCAAAAGUAUCUCUGGAAGCAUGCAAUCCCCCACCUCUCUAGCAUACAUUUUGCCCUUUUAAAAAAAAGUAAAUAAAUACAUAACCUGUCUCUCUAAUCCCCUUUAAUAGGCAUGUGCAUAGCAUAUGCAAAAUACAGGUUUUACAUAGAUAAUGCUCAACUCAAAUCAACUAAGCUUAAUCCCAAACUAGUUGGGGUCGGCCAUAAAAAUCAUUUUCUUCCAUUCCACUCUAUUUAGGUCCACUUUUUGCCAGAUAUAACAAUAUCAAGUCCUUCCUUACUACUUCAUCCCAUAUCAUUUUUGGUCUAACUCUACUCCUCUUUCUUUCUACAUAUAUCAAAUCACUCCUUCAUACUAGUGAAUUCUCGAUCUAUGUCGUACAUGUCCAAACCAUCUAAGUCAUCCUUCCUGCAAUGUAUCCUCAAUUGGUGCUACAUCUACUUCUUUUACAAAUGAUUUCAUCUUUUAUUGUAUAUUUUCUCGUAUUGCCACACAUUCAUCUCAAUAUUCUCAUUUCAACUACACUUAUCUAGUGCACAUGGUGUUUUCUAACUGCCCAACACUGUAACAUAAAGCAUAGCUGGUCGUGUAACUAUCUUGUAAAAUUUUUUCUUCAACUUGGCAAGUAUCCUGCAAUUACAUAAUACUCUAUAUGAAUAAUCGAUUCUAAGUAUCAUAAGUGAUCGCUCUUAGAAACUUCAUAAUCCUCAAUUUUCACUCUACCCUUAUCUCUGUUUCUAAUUUUACUAAACUUAUAUUCCAUGUACUCCAUCUUGGUCCUAUUUAACCCGAAAUCCUUGGAUUCUAAUGCACUCCUCCAUAAUUCUAACUUAUGAUAAACUCCAAUCUUAGUUUCAUCCACUGAGAUUAUAUCAUCCGCAAACAGCAUGCAUCAAGGAAUAUCAUCCUAAAUAUGUUUAAUAAACUUAUCCAUAACUAGCAUAAAAAGCUAAGGACCUAGAGCAGAUUAUUGGUGUAAACAUAUUAUGAUAGGAAACUAACUUGUAUUAUCAUUAGUAGUUCAAAUACUAGGAACCGCUCCAUUAUAUAUAUCCUUAAUCACAUUAAUACGACUAACAUAAACUCCUUUUUUUCUAACACCCACCAUAAAACUUCUCUAGAGACUCUAUCAUAUGCUUUUUCUAAAUUGUUAUAUUUGUUAUAUUGCUAUUAAUAUAUCUAUAAUUCUUUGACAUGAACUUGAAAACUGUCUAUAUGGUCUAUAUGUACAUGCAUCACUCUACAAUUGAAGAGCAUUUAUUACAAAAAGCCUGUCCUCAAGCUAUAGGUAUCUAAGACUAGACAAGUUCAACACAAUCAUUCUAUUACUUCUAAGACUUAUCACAAGCCAUCCAAACAUGUUAGGGGAACUCCAAUCGUCACACGCUAACAACCCUAUUGAGCCAUCACCCAUGUCACUUGCUAGAUAUGUAGUUGGGAAAUUGGGAUCUUGCAGCUUAGGCAUUGAAAGCACCCUUAGUGCAUCAAAUCUUGCAAAACCAUCAGAUUUUAGAGAUUAAUUUUGCGAAAUUUCAGAUUGAUACUCUGAUAGCAAAAACAUGAUUGGUAUUGAAAAAUUUGAAUCUUUCUUUAAUUACCAUGAAGUUUUUCACAGUUAUUGUUCUCGGUCUUUCCUCGCAACCACAUCAAGAAGGGUCAUCCAAACAUUUUUUUCUUUGGGGUUUCCAAGUUUUCUCAUGGCCUCCGUUGACCACAACAAAUGCUUUCACCUGGAAGCAUUCUUUUUUUUCUUUGGGGUGGUUUAAAACCAAUCCAAACAAAAGAGAUUCUACUCAAUAUUGACUUUGAAGCUUCUUGAUAAUUAGCAAUCCCUUUUCCAAUCUUGCUCAAGCUUAUAUCAAUUCCUUGAUUUAAGCUCCUACGGCAUUUUUGGUUCAGUCAUCCUUUUUUCGCUCCAAUUGUUCACAAGAUAUAGUUGACCAACUUAAACUAUAAACGUCCAAUUAAGCCCCUUGCAGACAUAAUCAGCUCUUAUUUCUAACCAAUAAGUCAUUUGUUUUAUAACUAUUUGUUGGCUUUGCAAAGUUUUUCCAAUUGCUUUACAAGGGCAUACUACACUGCCAAAUCAUGAUUGCACUAUUAGCACAAAGUAGCUUCUACCACACUUUUGUAUUGUUGCUAACCCAUUUUUCAAGUCUUUUUCCUCUUUUGUUGUACAAGAACCAAUUGUUGUAUGCUCCUUCCUCCCCGUUCCUUUAUGCUCCUAAUACUUGAUAGAAUGAUGGUAUAUACCUCCUUUGCAAACAAGACCUACAAAGCCUGCAAAAUUCAACACCACACCUCUUGAAAGGCUUCUAGACAACAAUCAAACACAUACACUUAAACAUGAUCAAAUUGACUUCGUUUUAUUAUUUCUAUGAUGAAAGAAGUCUAUAUAUCUCCAAAACUUACCAAGCCCUUUCUAUCUUCUUCUUUCUAACAAUUCUCUCUUUGGUUCCUCUACCUCUUACUCCUACUUUUUCUUCGUUUACUAUGAUUGAUACCCUUGCCCCUAUUUCUCCACUUCCCUUAUCUAUGGACCUCCUUUCACUCGUUCUCAACAUAUUGGAGUUCCACUUUAAGUCUUCUUGCAAUCAUCUCUGUUUGUUUCGGUGCAAUAAAUUUGAAGGUUUGAAGCCUAUACAAUCCCCAUGUCUCUUACAGCCUUUGGAUGUAAACUUCAGAAAGUUUUAUAUUAGUUCAUGUAAAGUUCCCAGAUUUGU
rnacentral:lncRNA from 1 species